rnacentral:rRNA from 3 species
CUAAGCGUACACGGUGGAUGCCCUGGCAGUCAGAGGCGAUGAAGGACGUGCUAAUCUGCGAUAAGCGCCGGUAAGGUGAUAUGAACCGUUAUAACCGGCGAUUUCCGAAUGGGGAAACCCAGUGUGACUCGUCACACUAUCAUUAACUGAAUCCAUAGGUUAAUGAGGCGAACCGGGGGAACUGAAACAUCUAAGUACCCCGAGGAAAAGAAAUCAACCGAGAUUCCCCCAGUAGCGGCGAGCGAACGGGGAGGA